UACGAGGGGGCUAGCGUUGUUCGGAAUUACUGGGCGUAAAGCGCACGUAGGCGGCUUUGUAAGUUAGAGGUGAAAGCCCGGGGCUCAACCCCGGAAUAGCCUUUAAGACUGCAUCGCUUGAACACGGGAGAGGUGAGUGGAAUUCCGAGUGUAGAGGUGAAAUUCGUAGAUAUUCGGAAGAACACCAGUGGCGAAGGCGGCUCACUGGACCGUUGUUGACGCUGAGGUGCGAAAGCGUGGGGAGCAAACAGG
rnacentral:rRNA from 1 species